rnacentral:rRNA from 2 species
ACAGGUGCUAAUACCGUAUAACAACAAAAUCCGCAUGGAUUUUGUUUGAAAGGUGGCUUCGGCUAUCACUUCUGGAUGAUCCCGCGGCGUAUUAGUUAGUUGGUGAGGUAAAGGCCCACCAAGACGAUGAUACGUAGCCGACCUGAGAGGGUAAUCGGCCACAUUGGGACUGAGACACGGCCCAAACUCCUACGGGAGGCAGCAGUAGGGAAUCUUCCACAAUGGACGAAAGUCUGAUGGAGCAAUGCCGCGUGAGUGAAGAAGGGUUUCGGCUCGUAAAACUCUGUUGUUAAAGAAGAACACCUUUGAGAGUAACUGUUCAAGGGUUGACGGUAUUUAACCAGAAAGCCACGGCUAACUACGUGCCAGCAGCCGCGGUAAUACGUAGGUGGCAAGCGUUGUCCGGAUUUAUUGGGCGUAAAGCGAGCGCAGGCGGUUUUUUAAGUCUGAUGUGAAAGCCUUCGGCUUAACCGGAGAAGUGCAUCGGAAACUGGGAGACUUGAGUGCAGAAGAGGACAGUGG